rnacentral:rRNA from 1 species
AUUGAACGCUGGCGGAAUGCUUUACACAUGCAAGUCGAACGGCAGCACGGGUGCUUGCACCUGGUGGCGAGUGGCGCACGGGUGAGUAAUGUAUCGGAACGUAUACACUAAUGGGGGAUAACUAAUCGAAAGGUUAGCUAAUACCGCAUACGCCCUACGGGGGAAAGCAGGGGAUCUUCGGACCUUGCGUUAAUGGAGCGGCCGAUAUCUGAUUAGCUAGUUGGUGAGGUAAAGGCUCACCAAGGCUUCGAUCAGUAGCUGGUCUGAGCGGACGACCAGCCACACGGGAACUGAGACAAGGUCCAGACUCCUACGGGAGGCAGCAGUGGGGAAGUUUGGACAAUGGAGGCAACCCUGAUCCAGCCAUUCCGCGUGAGGGAAGAAGGCCUUCGGGUUGUAAAGCUCUUUCGCAAGGGAAGAAACGAUACAGUCGAAUAAACUGUGUUAAUGACGGUACCUUGAUAAGAAGCACCGGCUAACUACGUGCCAGCAGCCGCAGUAA